rnacentral:rRNA from 1 species
AUUGAACGCUGGCGGCAUGCCUUACACAUGCAAGUCGAACGGCAGCACGGGAGCAAUCCUGGUGGCGAGUGGCGAACGGGUGAGUAAAGUAUCGGAACGUGCCCAGUCGUGGGGGAUAACGUGGCGAAAGUUACGCUAAUACCGCAUACGAUCUAUGGAUGAAAGCGGGGGAUCGCAAGACCUCGCGCGAUUGGAGCGGCCGAUAUCAGAUUAGGUAGUUGGGGGGGUAAAGGCUCACCAAGCCGACGAUCUGUAGCUGGUCUGAGAGGACGACCAGCCACACUGGGACUGAGACACGGCCCAGACUCCUACGGGAGGCAGCAGUGGGGAAUUUUGGACAAUGGGCGAAAGCCUGAUCCAGCCAUGCCGCGUGCAGGAUGAAGGCCUUCGGGUUGUAAACUGCUUUUGUACGGAGCGAAAAGGUUUGGCCUAAUAAGCUGAGCUCAUGACGGUACCGUAAGAAUAAGCACCGGCUAACUACGUGCCAGCAGCCGCCGUAA